CUUGGGGCAAAAACAUGUACUCAGUCACCUUCUACAUGCUGAUAAUGGAAGAGAAAAUCCUCUCUUGAUAAAACAGCCAAAGGUUGCUACAGUUAAUUACGAUGGUGAGUUGUGCAGCGGCUGGGGGGCUCAUACGGCAACAGCAAAACCACACAAAAAUGAAUGACGCCAGGCAGAGCUUUGAGCCCUUUAAAUCAGGCCACCCUUGUGACUGCAGAGACCACAGUAAUCUCAGGCAACUUCAAAUGGUUUGUUGAGAAACUUUUAAGCAACAUACAGGAUUCAGCUACAGAUUGGAGGAAGCAUAACUGUAGCAUAAGCCUGGAAGGAGACUAGCUGUGAGGCCUGGUUUGAUGACGCCAAUAGUUCCAUCUUC
rnacentral:lncRNA from 1 species